rnacentral:rRNA from 1 species
UACGUAGGGUCCGAGCGUUGUCCGGAAUUACUGGGCGUAAAGAGCUCGUAGGUGGUUUGUCGCGUUGUUCGUGAAACUCACAGCUCAACUGUGGGCGUGCGGGCGAUACGGGCAGACUGGAGUACUGCAGGGGAGACUGGAAUUCCUGGUGUAGCGGUGAAAUGCGUAGAUAUCGGAGGAACACCGGUGGCGAAGGCGACAUCCUGGACCGGUAUUGACGCUGAGUGAGCGAAAGCCAGGGGAGCAACGGGG